CAAACAUAAAACUAUGAAAUAAUAGUUUAAAAUCAUCUAGAAACAAAAAAAUUUGUUAUUUUUGUUUGAAUUUCUGAACACUAGGCAACCCAGUAUGACUCAACCGCCACACCAACACAAACACAAGUUAACGGUCGCCGGCACGCCAACGAACUCCUCUGCAGAAUUUUCAAGAAUCAAUUACUAUGAAUAAACGUAAUAUUUUCAUAAAUGGGCAUGUUUGCCUCGAAUCAAACAAACGGUGGAGCCAGGGUUGUUUUCCGUUUAUUUUCAUCAAAAACACCCUCAUUACAACAUAGUUUCCAUGGAAUAUCAAGCAGAUGGUACGCGGGCAUCACUCAAGCGGAAUGAAACACACCGGUUGGUUGAUUCACGCCUUUUAUGGCUUGUUUUGUGAAAGUCGUCACUGGUAAACUCACCAAUUCACUUCACCUGACUAAUUUUAGUGAAAAAGCAUUGAAUCAACAUAAAAACCUAUGAAAUCAACAUGGUACAUGCAUCUAAACAUGUUGUACGCCUGUUUUCUUGUCUUAAGACGUUUGGAACGCUUCAGACUUAUAAUUAUCUUCACCAGAAAUAACUGGGUUAUUAUUAGCCGUCUGCUGCGGUUGGUGCUUCUUGUACGUGUCUUCAUUUCACGCUGACCCGCAUCUGCGCACAUUUCAUCUCUAGAAAGUCGGCAUUCUAUGUUUUUUUGUAUUUACGCUUGGGGAAUGUGUUUCAACAUGAAAACAAUACACAUAAGGUGAUUGUUUGGGAGUUUUCGUUGUUUUUGCGUAAAAUUCGUGAUUAUUGAUCAAAUAAGUAGUGCCAAGCUGUGUGAAACGCUUGAUGACGCAUCGUGACCUUGGUAUUCCAGCCACGCAACAGUCGAAAUGUUUUAUUCAAUGAUAUUGUUGAUAAUUUGCUAAUUUUUUGCAAAUUUUAUGGAUUUUUAUGAGUUUUUAAGUGUUUUUCAAGUUAUUUUCAUUAUUUUAGUUGGUGUGUGGUGUUUCUAUUGUUAAAUAAGUAGUAAAUUAGAUUCAAAUCA